UCGCGCCGGGUGACAACCGGCCACAACGGGGACGAUGGACGCGGUCAUUUUGCCGGUUUCUGACCGCGACACCAACGCAUCGGUACGCGCUGACAUCUGACCUGUUCUCGAC
rnacentral:sRNA from 1 species